rnacentral:rRNA from 1 species
GACGAACGCUGGCGGCGUGCUUAACACAUGCAAGUCGAACGGUAAGGCCCUUCGGGGUACACGAGUGGCGAACGGGUGAGUAACACGUGGGUGAUCUGCCCUGCACUUCGGGAUAAGCCUGGGAAACUGGGUCUAAUACCGGAUAGGACUCCGGACUGCAUGGUCUGGGGUGGAAAGCUUUUGCGGUGUGGGAUGGGCCCGCGGGCUAGCAGGUUGGUGGUGGGGUGAUGGCCUACCAAGGCGACGAGGGGUAGCCGGCCUGGGAGGGUGACCGGCCAAACUGGGACUGGGAUACGGCCCAGACUCCUACGGGAGGCAGCAGUGGGGGAUAGUGCACAAUGGGCGCAAGCCUGAUGCAGCGACGCCGCGAGAGGGAUGACGGCCUUCGGGUUGUAAACCUCUUUCAGCGUCGACGAAGCGAAAGUGACGGUAGGUGCAGAAGAAGGACCGGCCAACUACGUGCCAGCAGCCGCGGUAA